CCCAGUCCCAGCUCCUGGAUCAGUUUGGUGACCUUCUGGUCUUUCUCCUGCUGACUGAUGGUCGACGGGAGCCGCAGCGCCGCUGAGAAGAACUCACGAGGACUUUCCACUUCCUGUCGCCCCCAUGAUGGCGUUCAGACCUGGUUUCAUGAUCCCACUGAGGAGGAGAGAGCCUGACCUUGUGUUUCAAAGUGGAAACCUGAGUCCUCCACAAAGCUCGCUUCCUUCCUUCGCCUCCCAACAUGGGAGAGAGUUUGAUCCGAAACCAAACCAAACAAACCAGAGGAACUCCUGACCGACCCUUUCAGAAUAAGACUUCAGGGUUCACCUGCUGGUCUCUGGGUCCACGUCUCCACG